rnacentral:rRNA from 1 species
AGUCCAACGGCUUAAACUUACGUGCCCAGCAGCCGCCGGGUAAUACGUAGGGUGGGCAAAGCCGUUGUCCGGGAAUUAUUUGGGCGUAAAGGGGCUCGCAGGGCGGUUUCUUUAAGUCUGAUGUGAAAGCCCCCCCGGCUCAACCGGGGGAGGGUCAUUGGAAACUGGGAAACUUGAGUGCAGAAGAGGAGAGUGGAAUUCCACGUGUAGCGGUGAAAUGCGUAGAGAUGUGGAGGAACACCAGUGGCGAAGGCGACUCUCUGGUCUGUAACUGACGCUGAGGAGCGAAAGCGUGGGGAGCGAACAGGAUUAGAUACCCUGGUAGUCCACGCCGUAAACGAUGAGUGCUAAGUGUUAGGGGGUUUCCGCCCCUUAGUGCUGCAGCUAACGCAUUAAGCACUCCGCCUGGGGAGUACGGUCGCAAGACUGAAACUCAAAGGAAUUGACGGGGGCCCGCACAAGCGGUGGAGCAUGUGGUUUAAUUCGAAGCAACGCGAAGAACCUUACCAGGUCUUGACAUCCUCUGACAACCCUAGAGAUAGGGCUUUCCCUUCGGGGACAGAGUGACAGGUGGUGCAUGGUUGUCGUCAGCUCGUGUCGUGAGAUGUUGGGUUAAGUCCCGCAACGAGCGCAACCCUUGAUCUUAGUUGCCAGCAUUCAGUUGGGCACUCUAAGGUGACUGCCGGUGACAAACCGGAGGAAGGUGGGGAUGACGUCAAAUCAUCAUGCCCCUUAUGACCUGGGCUACACACGUGCUACAAUGGACAGAACAAAGGGCUGCGAGACCGCAAGGUUUAGCCAAUCCCACAAAUCUGUUCUCAGUUCGGAUCGCAGUCUGCAACUCGACUGCGUGAAGCUGGAAUCGCUAGUAAUCGCGGAUCAGCAUGCCGCGGUGAA